rnacentral:rRNA from 1 species
AGUGAACGCUGGCGGUAGGCCUAACACAUGCAAGUCGAACGGCAGCACAGUAAGAGCUUGCUCUUACGGGUGGCGAGUGGCGGACGGGUGAGGAAUACAUCGGAAUCUACUUGUUCGUGGGGGAUAACGUAGGGAAACUUACGCUAAUACCGCAUACGACCUACGGGUGAAAGCAGGGGAUCUUCGGACCUUGCGCGAUUGAAUGAGCCGAUGGCGGAUUAGCUAGUUGGCGGGGUAAAGGCCCACCAAGGCGACGAUCCGUAGCUGGUCUGAGAGGAUGAUCAGCCCAACGGGAACUGAGAACCGGUCCAGACCCCUACGGCAGCCAGCAGUGGGAAAUAUUGGACAAGGGGGGAAAGCCUGACCCAGCCAGCCCGCGUGGGUGAAGAAGGCCUCCGGGUUGAAAAGCCCUUUUGUUGGGAAAGAAAAGCAGAAGGUUAAUACCCCGCUGUUCGGCCGGUCCCCAAAGAAUAGGCACCGGCAAACUCCGG